rnacentral:lncRNA from 1 species
AUGUAUUCGUGAGUGUGCGUUCAUUGUUGGACUGGUCCAUGAGCUCAACGGUGGAUUUGGUUCCACUAAAAAUUUCACCAUGCUGAUUGCUGACAAGUUAGUUUAAAUGUUAAAGCCAAAAUGGUGCGGUGAUUCCAAGGUUCAAGUGGCUGGAUUCCAAAAGCAAGCUACGCCUCUUAUCUUUAGAAUUCAAGAGGAUGCUU